CCAGGGAUAACCUGGAGGAAGGUGGGGAUGACGUCAAUCAUCAUGCCCCUUAUGCUUAGGGCUACACACGUGCUACAAUGGGUAGUACAGAGGGUUGCCAAGCCGUAAGGUGGAGCUAAUCCCUUAAAGCUACUCUCAGUUCGGAUUGUAGGCUGAAACUCGCCUACAUGAAGCUGGAGUUACUAGUAAUCGCAGAUCAGAAUGCUGCGGUGAUGCGUCCCGGGUCUUGUACACACCGCCCGUCACACCACGGGAGUUGGAGACGCCCGAAGCCGAUUAUCUUAACCUUUUGGAAGAAGCGUCGAAGGUGGAAUCAAUAACUGGGGUGAAGUCGUAACAAGGUAGCCGUAUCGGAAGGUGCGGCUGGAUCACCUCCUUUCUAAGGAGA
rnacentral:rRNA from 1 species